CCCGAAGUCCACGGGGUCCUCAACGAUGUCCCACCCACACCGGUCCCGGGCCUCGUCCUGGAGCUCCCCGAGCCGGUGGUCAUCUCUGGAGCUGAAAGCACGGAGGGCUGCCAGCGUGCCGGAGUCAACCUACGGGAUUGACAGAAUAUGGCAGAAAGGACGAGGUGUCCUGGGUGACAGUAUAAAAGACACCGGCUUUCUUCUUGGUGACUCUUCCUCUGGGUGACUCUGACCACGAUCCCAUGAGAGACACGUAGCAGAACCACCCCAUCCACCUGGCCCCAGAUUCCCGUGGUUUUAAGCCACGAAAUUCUAGUGUCAUUUGUUACGGAGUAAUAGCUGACUGAUGUAGGUGGCGUUAUCAAUAGGGUGCGCUAACCAUUGCCGAGCGCCAGCUAUAUGCCCAACAGUGCUGCCAAGAGGCUAUUUCCUCGUCUCCAUUUCUCAUGCCAAGUGGGUUCCUACCGCAGGCCCUUUGCAUGUGCCAUUCUGGCCACUUGGAGCGCCUUCUCCCCACAUCUUGGCCUGGGUGACCUUAAUCUCAUCAUCAGCUCUCGGGUACGAGGCCACCACCGCAGGGGGGCCCUCCGGGAGCACCCCGGUUCCCCAGCUCAGUCCAUCCAUCCCACGUCACCCUGUUCCCCCUACAACAGAAUCUGGCCCCAAAUAUGGCUCGGCGCUGACGUCAAGGCCUCCUGGACACAGAGCUGAUUCAUGGUUGAUCCGUCACGGAGUUUGUGGCACAAAUGACUCAGCGUUUUUAACACAUCGUGUUGAGCCGAUGUCCUGUGGUCCCCUGGGGCCCCGGGCCCAGGGGGAUGAUUCCAGGAAGGUCAGAGGGAGCCCGGGGGGAGCUGGUGUCGGGGGCCGGGGUGCAAGGGGGACCUGACUGCGUGGACCGGGGAGCGGGGCGGCAGUGGCGUGGCCCCGGGGUGAAGGAUGUAGGGAGGCGGGCGGCCGUCUGGCCUUUUCAAAAAUGGAAGCGGCCUGGUUGUGCUGAAAUUCGGAUGUUGGGGGGGGCGGGCGACGGCAGAGACCCAGGAACUGGAGGUGACUUCCUGGUGUGGGGAACGGAUGAGCGACAGAUAAACGGGAGAAUUGAGUCUGCCGGCGGGUGACAAGUGCCACACAGGAAGCUGAGGAGGGGAGGAGGGCCGGGAGCACCAAGAAUGGGGGUGGGUGUUGGCAGUUUCCAACAACGGGGUGUGAGAGGCCUCGAGGAGAAGACAGGUUUCAACAGGACCUAAAAACGGACAGAGUGACCCAUGGGGACAUCUGAGGAAAGAGUUCCAGGCUGAGGACACAGCAAGUGCAAAGGCCCUGGGGCAGGCCUGGGCCUGGCAUGUGGGAGGAGCAGCGAGGAGGCCCGUGUGGCUGGAGCAGAGGGAGGAGGGAGGGCAGGGAGGGGACGGGGCAGGUCGUGCGGGGCCUGGGGGGACCUGACCUUGGACCUGUCUAGAUCCGACAGCCACGAGGAGAAGAGCUGGUGGGGACCACAGCUGCUCCUUUUGCUAGAGAAACCAGAAAGGCUGAGUUUCAGGAAUUGCUACGUUUUGCCGAGUUGGCGAUCCAAUUGUUCUUUUCAAUUCAAAUAUUUUUAUGAGAAUUUGUGAACUUAACAAAAAAACCAUGGGCCCCCCCGUGGAGCAAAAACUCAAAACGCGUUUGUUGUCCAAUAAAGAAACGAAGGGUGUGAGGGGGAGGAAGGGACGCACAGGGAGCACUCACUUAUUCAUUCAUUCAUUCAUUCAUUCAUUUGAGAAGUAAUUUUUACAGAUCUGAACAGACCAAGACAGAGAGAAAAAAAAACAGCAAAAAAUAGAAAUAGGAAGAAAUGUGGCAGCGUGGCUUUCCUGCUAUUCUUCAAACUCACCAGGCACGUUCCUGCCCCAGGGCCUUUGCACAGGCUGUUCCCUCUGCCUGGAACCCAGUCUGCCCCAGGGAUCCCCUCGGCUCACUCCCUACCCUCCUUCAGGUUUGCAGUCGAGCCCGUCCUGACGACACUGUGACAACUGCCUAGGACAGGGAGUCCCAAAGUCCAGCCCGGGGGCCGUUUUUGUCAAUAAAGUUUUAUCGGCACAUGGCCACACCCACUCAUUGACGUAUCCCUUUCCACGGGCCCCUUCCAGGCUACAGCGGCCACAAAAUAUCCUGAAAACAUUCAUUUUGGGGCCGACACCUGGGCUGCGAGGCAGGCACGUGACUUUUCUCCAUGCUCAGAGGGCCAAGCGUGACUGAGAUCGCAGCACGGGGCUGGUGUCUGGCAGCGCAGCUAUUUGGCGCCAAAGGUCUGUAACCCUAAGAACCAGAGGCCUCUCUCUCUUGAGCCCAGAGAAUUCUUUGGGGACGUAAAUUGUGUCUUCCUCCAAAUUCUGAUGCGGAAGCCUGACCCCAGGACCUUAGAACGUGACGGUGUUUGGAGAUGGGUGUUCACAGAGGUGAUUAAGGGGAAAUGAGGUCACUGGGGUGGGUCCUGAUCCAAGAGGACUGGUUCCCUUGUAAGAAGAAGAGAUGGGGACACAGACACGCACAGAGGGACGACCAACGAGGACACAGGGGGGAGCCGCCGUCCACAUGCCACGGAGAGAGGCCUCGGAGGAGCCAGCCCUGCCGACACCUCGACCGCGGACUCCAGCCUCCGGCCCCGGGACGACGAUAAAUUUCCGAGCUUGGAGCCCCCCCAGCCCAUCGUCCGUCCCCUGUGUGGCGGGUGGCCCCCGGCCACGCGUGCCUCCCGCGCUUUCAGAUGCGGCUGCAGCGACCGAAGAGAAACGGAAUUUUCCGUCCCACUCAUUUUUCAUUCGUCAAAAUCGAAAUGCUCGCUGUCGCGCGGUGACAUAUUUCUCCCCCUUCAACACGACUUCGGCGGCAUCGAAUUUCACUUUGUCGAAAACACGGCGUCUGGGUUGAGUUUGGGUAAAAUGCAGGCCAGAUUUUGACGAAUUCAUGCCCAAAAGGGGCAGGGACGAUGCCCCCAGGGGGAACGCAGGACGUGGAUCCCACGGCGACAUAUUAGGAUCAAUAAAAUGGAUCAGAAUUAA